CGGGACGGGUGAGUAACGCGUGGGUAACCUGCCAUAUACAGGGGGAUAACAGCGAGAAAUUGCUGCUAAAACCGCAUAAGCGCACGGAGUCGCAUGACUCAGUGUGAAAAACUCCGGUGGUAUAUGAUGGACCCGCGUCUGAUUAGCCAGUUGGCAGGGUAACGGCCUACCAAAGCGACGAUCAGUAGCCGGCCUGAGAGGGUGGACGGCCACAUUGGGACUGAGACACGGCCCAAACUCCUACGGGAGGCAGCAG
rnacentral:rRNA from 1 species